rnacentral:rRNA from 1 species
AGAGUUUGAUCAUGGCUCAGAUUGAACGCUGGCGGCAGGCCUAACACAUGCAAGUCGAACGGUAACAGGAAGCAGCUUGCUGCUUCGCUGACGAGUGGCGGACGGGUGAGUAAUGUCUGGGAAACUGCCUGAUGGAGGGGGAUAACUACUGGAAACGGUAGCUAAUACCGCAUAACGUCGCAAGACCAAAGAGGGGGACCUUCGGGCCUCUUGCCAUCGGAUGUGCCCAGAUGGGAUUAGCUAGUAGGUGGGGUAACGGCUCACCUAGGCGACGAUCCCUAGCUGGUCUGAGAGGAUGACCAGCCACACUGGAACUGAGACACGGUCCAGACUCCUACGGGAGGCAGCAGUGGGGAAUAUUGCACAAUGGGCGCAAGCCUGAUGCAGCCAUGCCGCGUGUAUGAAGAAGGCCUUCGGGUUGUAAAGUACUUUCAGCGGGGAGGAAGGCGAUAAGGUUAAUAACCUUGUCGAUUGACGUUACCCGCAGAAGAAGCACCGGCUAACUCCGUGCCAGCAGCCGCGGUAAUACGGAGGGUGCAAGCGUUAAUCGGAAUUACUGGGCGUAAAGCGCACGCAGGCGGUCUGUCAAGUCGGAUGUGAAAUCCCCGGGCUCAACCUGGGAACUGCAUUCGAAACUGGCAGGCUAGAGUCUUGUAGAGGGGGGUAGAAUUCCAGGUGUAGCGGUGAAAUGCGUAGAGAUCUGGAGGAAUACCGGUGGCGAAGGCGGCCCCCUGGACAAAGACUGACGCUCAGGUGCGAAAGCGUGGGGAGCAAACAGGAUUAGAUACCUGGUAGUCC